UGCGUGCUAAUAUUUUACUUUAUGCAUGUUUUUGUGUGGGAGUUUUGAGUUAUGCAUAUAGUGUCGAGCUCAUUUCAUGAUAUGCAAAUGCUCCAAAACACAGUUCAUGUUGGAAAUUUGGAACAUUCGUUUACGAUCAAUGCAUGAUUAGUUAAUUCAAAGGAAUUCUCGGAAAACUUGCUUUUUUCUUCUUGUAUGUAUCUACUGAAACGUGAACGCAAGUUUUGAAGAAGGAGGAAUUUCAGUUUGGAAGAAAAGCAGGAGAUUUUCUCAAUCAAGAAUAUAUACAGAUAGCGGAUCGUGGCUUUGUAUAAGGACAUCACAACUAAACGAUGUCGACAGUUACAAAAGAGUGCGUCAGUAAGCCAGAAGAUAAACUUUUCAACGCGGUUAGAAUGAAUAAAUUUCGUCUGGUUCGAUUACUGAUCGAAGGGGGCGUUCAUGUGGAUAGCCGUAACAGUAAUGAACAAACUCCUUUGUUGAUCUUAUCCUCGUCUUUGAGAAACGCAUCCCAUAGUCGUAGCGAAACUUAUAGAAAGGUUUUUAAGUAUCUUAUUACUGCUGGAGCUGAUGUAAAUGCUGCUGACGCAAGUGGAAGAACACCAUUGAUAUAUUCUGUGAUAACGCGGCUAUCAAUCUUCUAUGAUCUUCUCAACGCAGGCGCUGAUCCCUGGUCGCAGGACCGCAGUGGUAAAUGUGCUUUUGACUAUGCAAUUCAGCAAAAAGAUCUGCAUGCUGUUGAAAAAAUGGUUGAAUCAUGUAAGAAAGCAAGAUCGUAUGUCGUGGGAGACGCGUGGAACAAGAGGGCUCGAUAAAGUAGAAGGUCAAGGUGAAAGACGAGAGAAGAAUAAGAACAAGCAGACGAAGAGAUCAAAAUCGCCGAUCAAAAGUCGAAAGGAAUUUUCAAAGUCAAGACAAAUGUACAGCGCACCAAAUUUAAGAGUU